GACCCUAGCUCAGUGGCUGAGCACCUGCUUCGCGUGCAGAAGGCCCCAUGUUGAAUUCCAGGCAGCAUCU